CCUACGGGGGGCUGCAGUGGGGAAUAUUGGACAAUGGGCGAAAGCCUGAUCCAGCCAUGCCGCGUGUGUGAAGAAGGCCUUCGGGUUGUAAAGCACUUUCAGUGGGGAAGAAAGCCUUGGGGCUAAUACCCUCGAGGAAGGACAUCACCCACAGAAGAAGCACCGGCUAACUCCGUGCCAGCAGCCGCGGUAAUACGGAGGGUGCGAGCGCUAAUCGGAAUUACUGGGCGUAAAGCGCGCGUAGGCGGUCUGAUAAGCCGGUUGUGAAAGCCCCGGGCUCAACCUGGGAACGGCAUCCGGAACUGUCAGGCUAGAGUGCAGGAGAGGAAGGUAGAAUUCCCGGUGUAGCGGUGAAAUGCGUAGAGAUCGGGAGGAAUACCAGUGGCGAAGGCGGCCUUCUGGACUGACACUGACGCUGAGGUGCGAAAGCGUGGGUAGCAAACAGGAUUAGAUACCCGUGUAGUC
rnacentral:rRNA from 1 species